AACGAACGCUGGCGGCAUGCCUAACACAUGCAAGUCGAACGAGACCUUCGGGUCUAGUGGCGCACGGGUGCGUAACGCGUGGGAACCUGCCCUUAGGUUCGGAAUAACUCUCCGAAAGGGGUGCUAAUACCGGAUAAUGUCUUCGGACCAAAGAUUUAUCGCCUUUGGAGGGGCCCGCGUUGGAUUAGCUAGUUGGUAGGGUAAAAGCCUACCAAGGCGACGAUCCAUAGCUGGUCUGAGAGGAUGAUCAGCCACACUGGGACUGAGACACGGCCCAGACUCCUACGGGAGGCAGCAGUGGGGAAUAUUGGACAAUGGGCGAAAGCCUGAUCCAGCAAUGCCGCGUGAGUGAUGAAGGCCUUAGGGUUGUAAAGCUCUUUUACCCGGGAUGAUAAUGACAGUACCGGGAGAAUAAGCUCCGGCUAACUCCGUG
rnacentral:rRNA from 1 species